GAUGAACGCUAGCGGCAGGCCUAAUACAUGCAAGUCGGACGGGAUCCAUCGGUAGCUUGCUAUCCAUGGUGAGAGUGGCGCACGGGUGCGUCACGCGUGAGCAACCUCCCUCCAUCAGGGGGAUAGCCUCUCGAAAGAGAGAUUAACACCGCAUAACAUAUCAGACCGGCAUCGGUCGGAUAACAAAUAUUUAUAGGAUGGAGAUGGGCUCGCGUGACAUUAGCUUGUUGGUGGGGUAACGGCCCACCAAGGCGACGAUGUCUAGGGGAUCUGAGAGGAGGACCCCCCACACUGGAACUGAGGCACGGACCAGACUCCUACGGGGGGCAGCGGUAAGGAAUAUUAGGCAAUGGGCGGAAGCCUGAACCAGCCAUGCCGCGUGCAGGAUGACUGCCCUAUGGGUUGUAAGCUGCUUUUGACCGGGAAUAAACCUCCUUACGUGUAGGGAGCUGAAUGUACCGGAAGAAUAAGGAACGGCUAACUCCGUG
rnacentral:rRNA from 1 species